rnacentral:rRNA from 1 species
AUUGAGCGCUGGCGGCAUGCCUUACACAUGCAAGUCGAACGGUAACAGGUCUUCGGAUGCUGACGAGUGGCGAACGGGUGAGUAAUACAUCGGAACGUGCCUAGUAGUGGGGGAUAACUACUCGAAAGAGUGGCUAAUACCGCAUGAGAUCUACGGAUGAAAGCAGGGGAUCGCAAGACCUUGUGCUACUAUAGCGGCCGAUGGAAGAUUAGGUAGUUGGUGGGAUAAAAGCUUACCAAGCCGACGAUCUGUAGCUGGUCUGAGAGGACGAUCAGCCACACUGGGACUGAGAAACGGCCCAGACUCCUACGGGAGGCAGCAGUGGGGAAUUUUGGACAAUGGGCGCAAGCCUGAUCCAGCAAUGCCGCGUGCAGGAUGAAGGCCUUCGGGUUGUAAACUGCUUUUGUACGGAACGAAAAGCCCCGGGUUAAUACCCUGGGGUCAUGACGGUACCGUAAGAAUAAGCACCGGCUAACUACGUGCCAGCCGCCGCCGUAA